CAGCCUUGUACCAGGAAAACAUUUAGAUGCUAAUGAAAAACAGCGAAAAACUUGGAAAAGAUGGUAGAAAGAAGGAAGUAAGGCAAGAAUAGGUUGAAAGUAGUAACAAAAACUUUGAAAAAAGAGACACAUAUUU